rnacentral:tRNA from 2 species
GUCUGGAUGGUGUAGUUGGUUAUCACGUUAGUCUCACACACUAAAGGUCCCCAGUUCGAACCUGGGCUCAGACA